AUGAAGCCUUUCGGGGUGGAUUAGUGGCGAACGGGUGAGUAACACGUGGGCAAUCUGCCCUGUACUUUGGGAUAAGCCUGGGAAACUGGGUCUAAUACCGGAUAUGACCGGGCCUCGCAUGGGGUUUGGUGGAAAGCUCCGGCGGUACAGGAUGAGCCCGCGGCCUAUCAGCUUGUUGGUGGGGUAAUGGCCUACCAAGGCGACGACGGGUAGCCGGCCUGAGAGGGUGACCGGCCACACUGGGACUGAGACACGGCCCAGACUCCUACGGGAGGCAGCAGUGGGGAAUAUUGCACAAUGGGCGCAAGCCUGAUGCAGCGACGCCGCGUGAGGGAUGACGGCCUUCGGGUUGUAAACCUCUUUCGCCAGGGACGAAGCGCAAGUGACGGUACCUGGAUAAGAAGCACCGGCUAACUACGUGCCAGCAGCCGCGGUAAUACGUAGGGUGCGAGCGUUGUCCGGAAUUAUUGGGCGUAAAGAGCUCGUAGGCGGUUUGUCGCGUCGUUCGUGAAAACUCCACGCUUAACGUGGAGCGUGCGGGCGAUACGGGCAGACUUGAGUUCGGUAGGGGAGACUGGAAUUCCUGGUGUAGCGGUGAAAUGCGCAGAUAUCAGGAGGAACACCGGUGGCGAAGGCGGGUCUCUGGGCCGAUACUGACGCUGAGGAGCGAAAGCGUGUGGAGCGAACAGGAUUAGAUACCCUGGUAGUCCACGCUGUAAACGUUGGGCGCUAGGUGUGGGCGACAUCCACGUUGUCCGUGCCGUAGCU
rnacentral:rRNA from 1 species